rnacentral:misc_RNA from 1 species
AGUCGUAACAAGGUUUCCGUAGGUGAACCUGCGGAAGGAUCAUUACCGAGAUAGGGUCACCCUUCGGGGAAGCCCGACCUCCAACCCUUUGUCUAUUAUACCUCUGUUGCCUCGGCGGGUCGUUGAGAGGAGCCCUGGAGACGGGGCCUCGCUCACCGUCGGUCACCGAUUUCGAUGACCUUCGCGCGCUCGCCGGUGGACCAAAUCAAAACCCUUUAUAACAAGUCGUCUGAGUGAUUUUAUAAUACUUCAAAA